GAACGAACGCUGGCGGCAAGCUUAACACAUGCAAGUCGAACGGAUUAUUCUUUAUAGCUUGCUAUGAAGAAUAAUUAGUGGCAGACGGGUGAGUAAUGCAUAGGAAUCUACCUAGUAGUAUGGGAUAGCCACUAGAAAUGGUGGGUAAUACUGUAUAAUCCCUGCGGGGGAAAGAUUUAUCGCUAUUAGAUGAGCCUAUGUUAGAUUAGCUAGUUGGUAGGGUAAAGGCCUACCAAGGCGAUGAUCUAUAGCUGGUCUGAGAGGAUGAUCAGCCACACUGGAACUGAGAUACGGUCCAGACUCCUACGGGAGGCAGCAGUGGGGAAUAUUGGACAAUGGGCGCAAGCCUGAUCCAGCUAUGCCGCGUGAGUGAGGAAGGCCUUAGGGUUGUAAAACUCUUUCAGUAGGGAAGAUAAUGACGGUACCUACAGAAGAAGUCCCGGCAAACUCCGUGCCAGCAGCCGCGGUAAUACGGAGGGGGCAAGCGUUGUUCGGAAUUAUUGGGCGUAAAGGGCAUGUAGGCGGUUCGGUAAGUUAAAGGUGAAAUGCCAGGGCUUAACCCUGGAGCUGCUUUUAAUACUGCCAGACUAGAGUCCGGGAGAGGAUAGCGGAAUUCCUAGUGUAGAUGGUGAAAUUC
rnacentral:rRNA from 1 species